GAUGAACGCUGGCGGCGUGCCUAAUACAUGCAAGUCGAGCGAACGGACGAGAAGCUUGCUUCUCUGAUGUUAGCGGCGGACGGGUGAGUAACACGUGGAUAACCUACCUAUAAGACUGGGAUAACUUCGGGAAACCGUAGCUAAUACCGGAUAAUAUUUUGAACCGCAUGGUUCAAAAGUGAAAGACGGUCUUGCUGUCACUUAUAGAUGGAUCCGCGCUGCAUUAGCUAGUUGGUAAGGUAACGGCUUACCAAGGCAACGAUGCAUAGCCGACCUGAGAGGGUGAGCGGCCACAGGGGAACUGAGACGGGGUCCAGACCCCUGCGGGGGGCAGAAGUGGGGAAUCUUCCGAAAGGGGCGAAAGCCUGACGGAGAAACGCCGCGUGAGAGAUGAGGGUCUUGGGAUCGAAAAUCUCUGCUAUGGGGAAAAAAAAUGUGUGUAAGUAACUGUGCACAUCGACGGGGUACCUAAACAGAGAGCCAGGGCAAACCGCG
rnacentral:rRNA from 1 species